rnacentral:rRNA from 1 species
UACAGAGGGGGCAAGCGUUGUUCGGAAUUACUGGGCGUAAAGGGCGCGUAGGCGGCCACCGCAAGUCGACUGUGAAAUCUCCGGGCUUAACCCGGAAAGGUCAGCCGAUACUGCGGGGCUAGAGUGCAGAAGGGGCAACUGGAAUUCUCGGUGUAGCGGUGAAAUUCGUAGAUAUUCGCAAGAACACCAGUGGCGAAGGCGGCUCACUGGCCCGAUACUGACGCUGAGGCACGAAAGCGUGGGGAGCAAACAGG